GAGGGAUCGUUCAUUAUUUGCGAUAGAGAGCAUGGGGAAGGGAAAUUAGCAUAGGUGAUGUAACGAGCGCAACCCUCGCCGGUAGGUGCCAGCAUUCAGUUGGUCACUCUAAGGGGACUGCCGGUGAUAAACCGAGAGGAAGGUGGGGAAGACGUCAAGUCCUCAUGGCCCUUACGGGCUGGGCUACACACGUGCUACAAUGGUGGUGACAGUGGGCAGCGAGCACGCGAGUGUGAGCUAAUCUCCAAAAGCCAUCUCAGUUCGGAUUGCACUCUGCAACUCGAGUGCAUGAAGUUGGAAUCGCUAGUAAUCGCGGAUCAGCAUGCCGCGGUGAAUACGUUCCCGGGCCUUGUACACACCGCCCGUCACACCAUGGGAGUUGGUUUUACCCGAAGGCGCUGUGCUAACCGCAAGGAGGCAGGCGACCACGGUAGGGUCAGCGACUGGGGUGAAGUCGAACAAGUGUCUAGGACCAA
rnacentral:rRNA from 1 species